rnacentral:antisense_RNA from 1 species
AAUACAUCUAGAAAUAGUUUCCAAAAAAAAAGGGAGCUAAUUACUCCUUUUCUUGAUCAACUUUGAAUCACUUAUUUAUGUUGGAAUUUUUACUCUCCAUAAAAGGCUAAUUUGUUUUAGCCAGAACAAGAAAAGGCGCCUGCAAGAAUAUUUUUAAAAAUCGGUGCUUGACCUAAUGCAUAUAAGAAAAAGACUGAUGAUGCAAAAGUAAGGACUAUUUUAUAAGUUUUGUUAACUUUUAAAUUAGAGAACUUUGUAAGUGCUGAGUUCAUUUUUUCAUUAUUUCUAUAACCAAUAUAGCCCCUUAAAUAAAAGAUUCAGCAUCAAAAUUUACCAAAAAUUAAUUUUGUUGUUGCGGUAAUUCGGUGGCAUUUUUUAUUUGUUCAAAUUCAUUUUUAGAAACGACUCUUAUUU